rnacentral:rRNA from 1 species
CCUACGGGAGGCAGCAGUGAGGAAUAUUGGUCAAUGGACGAGAGUCUGAACCAGCCAAGUAGCGUGAAGGAUGACUGCCCUAUGGGUUGUAAACUUCUUUUAUAUGGGAAUAAAAUGUUCCACGUGUGGGAGUUUGUAUGUACCAUAUGAAUAAGGAUCGGAUAACUCCGUGCCAGCAGCCGCGGUAAUACGGAGGAUGCGAGCGUUAUCCGGAUUCAUUGGGUUUAAAGGGUGCGCAGGCGGGCCGUGAAGCCGGCGGUGAACUCGCGGGGCUCAACCCCGCCGAGCCGUCGGAACUGGGGGCCUGUAGUGCGGCGGCGGCAGGCGGAAUGCGCGGUGUAGCGGUGAAAUGCAUAGAUAUCGCGCAGAACCCCGAUUGCGACGGCAGCGUGCCGUGCCGCCACUGACGCUGAGGCACGAAAGCGCGGGGAUCGAACAGGAUUAGAUACCCGGGUAGUC